rnacentral:rRNA from 1 species
GAUGAACGCUGGCGGCGUGCCUAAUACAUGCAAGUCGAGCGAACGGACGAGAAGCUUGCUUCUCUGAUGUUAGCGGCGGACGGGUGAGUAACACGUGGAUAACCUACCUAUAAGAGUGGGAUAACUUCGGGACACCGGAGCUAAUACCGGAUAAUAUUUUGAACCGCAUGGUUCAAAAGUGAAAGACGGUCUUGCUGUCACUUAUAGAUGGAUCCGCGCUGCAUUAGCUAGUUGGUAAGGUAACGGCUUACCAAGGCAACGAUGCAUAGCCGACCUGAGAGGGUGGUCGGCCACACUGGAACUGAGACACGGUCAAGACUCCUACGGGAGGCAGCAGUAGGGAAUCUUCCGCAAUGGGCGAAAGCCUGACGGAGCAACGCCGCGUGAGUGAUGAAGGUCUUCGGAUCGUAAAACUCUGUUAUUAGGGAAGAACAUAUGUGUAAGUAACUGUACACAUCUUGACGGUACCUAAUCAGAAAGCCACGGCUAACUACGUG